AGGAUGCAAGCGUUAUCCGGAAUGAUUGGGCGUAAAGCGUCCGCAGGUGGCUAUGUAAGUCUGCUGUUAAAGAGUGAGGCUCAACCUCAUAAGAGCAGUGGAAACUACAUGGCUAGAGUGCGUUCGGGGCAGAGGGAAUUCCUGGUGUAGCGGUGAAAUGCGUAGAUAUCAGGAAGAACACCGGUGGCGAAAGCGCUCUGCUAGGCCGCAACUGACACUGAGGGACGAAAGCUAGGGGAGCGAAUGGG
rnacentral:rRNA from 1 species